AUUGAACGCUGGCGGCAUGCCUUACACAUGCAAGUCGAACGGCAGCACGGGAGCAAUCCUGGUGGCGAGUGGCGAACGGGUGAGUAAUAUAUCGGAACGUGCCCAGUCGUGGGGGAUAACGUAGCGAAAGCUACGCUAAUACCGCAUACGAUCUAUGGAUGAAAGCGGGGGGAUCGCAAGACCUCGCGCGAUUGGAGCGGCCGAUAUCAGAUUAGGUAGUUAGUGNGGUAAAGGCGUCACCAAGCCGACCGAUCUGUAGCUGGUCUGAGAGGACGACAGCCACACUGGGACUGAGACA
rnacentral:rRNA from 1 species